GAUGAACGCUGGCGGCGUGCCUAAUACAUGCAAGUCGAGCGACAAGACAAGAAGCUUUCUCUCUUGCCGUUAGCGGCGGACGGGCGAGUAACACGUGGAUAACCUACUUAUAAGACGGGGAUAACUUCGGGAAACCGGAUCUACUACCGGAUAAUAUAUUGAACCGCAUGGUUCAAUAGUGAAUGACGGUUUUGCCGUUACUUAUAGCUGAAUCCGCGCCGCAUUAGCUAGUUGGUAAGGUAACGGCUUACCAAGGCGACGAUGCGUAGCCGACCUGAGAGGAUGAUCGGCCACACUGGAACUGAGACACGGUCCAGACUCCUACGGGAGGCAGCAGUAGGGAAUCUUCCGCAAUGGGCGAAAGCCUGACGGAGCAACGCCGCGUGAGUGAUGAAGGUCUUCGGAUCGUAAAACUCUGUUAUUAGGGAAGAACAAAUGUGUAAGUAACUAUGCACGUCUUGACGGUACCUAAUCAGAAAGCCACGGCUAACUACGUG
rnacentral:rRNA from 1 species